rnacentral:rRNA from 1 species
UACGAAGGGUGCAAGCGUUACUCGGAAUUACUGGGCGUAAAGCGUGCGUAGGUGGUUUGUUAAGCCUGUUGUGAAAGCCCCGGGCUCAACCUGGGAAUGGCAAUGGAUACUGGCAAGCUAGAGUGCGGUAGAGGGUAGUGGAAUUCCCGGUGUAGCGGUGAAAUGCGUAGAGAUCGGGAGGAACACCAGUGGCGAAGGCGACUUUCUGGGCUGUAACUGACGCUGAGGCGCGAAAGCGUGGGGAGCAAACAGG